rnacentral:tRNA from 1 species
GCGGAUGUAGCCAAGUGGCUUAAGGCAGUGGAUUGUGAAUCCACCAUGCGCGGGUUCAAUUCCCGUCGUUCGCCC